GUUUCCGUGGUGUAGUGGUUAUCACAUCCGCCUAACACGCGGACGUCCCCCGGUUCAAUCCCGGGCGGAUAAUCG